AGCAGCCGCGGUAAUUCCAGCUCCAAUAGCGUAUAUUAAAGUUGUUGCAGUUAAAAAGCUCGUAGUUGAAUUUCGGGAUCAGAUUGUCGGUCGUGCCUCGGUACGCACUGGCAUUAUUGGUUCCUACCUUCUGAAGAACCGCGAUGUCAUUAAUUUGGUGUCGUGGGGAAUCAGGACUGUUACUUUGAAAAAAUUAGAGUGUUUAAAGCAGGCGCACGCUUGAAUACAUUAGCAUGGAAUAAUGAAAUAGGACGUUUGAUUCUAUUUUGUUGGUUUCUAGGAUCGACGUAAUGAUUAAUAGGGAUAGUUGGGGGCAUUAGUAUUCAAUUGUCAGAGGUGAAAUUCUUGGAUUUAUUGAAGACUAACUACUGCGAAAGCAUUUGCCAAGGAUGUUUUCAUUAAUCAAGAACGAAGUUAGGGGAUCGAAGACGAUCAGAUACCGUCGUAGUC
rnacentral:rRNA from 1 species